CCUACGGGAGGCAGCAGUGGGGAAUAUUGCACAAUGGGGGAAACCCUGAUGCAGCGACGCCGCGUGAGUGAAGAAGUAAUUCGUUAUGUAAAGCUCUAUCAGCAGGGAAGAAAAUGACGGUACCUGAGUAAGCAUCCCCGGCUAACUACGUGCCAGCAGCCGCGGUACUACGUAGGGGGCAAGCGUUAUCCGGAUUUACUGGGUGUAAAGGGAGCGUAGACGGCAGGGCAAGUCUGGAGUGAAAGGCGGGGGCUCAACCCCCGGACUGCUCUGGAAACUGUACGGCUGGAGUGCAGGAGAGGUAAGUGGAAUUCCUAGUGUAGCGGUGAAAUGCGUAGAUAUUAGGAGGAACACCAGUGGCGAAGGCGGCUUACUGGACUGUAACUGACGUUGAGGCUCGAAAGCGUGGGGAGCAAACAGGAUUAGAUACCCUUGUAGUC
rnacentral:rRNA from 1 species